UCACUUUCAACAACGGAUCUCUUGGCUCUCGCAUCGAUGAAGAACGUAGCGAAGUGCGAUAAGUAAUGUGAAUUGCAGAUUCCGUGAAUCAUCGAAUCUUUGAACGCAAAUUGCACUCCUUGGUAUCCCGGGGAGUAUGCCUGUUUGAGGGUCAGU
rnacentral:rRNA from 1 species